AUUGAACGCUAGCGGGAUGCUUUACACAUGCAAGUCGAACGGAGUGGCGGACGGGUGAGUAAUAUAUCGGAACGUGCCCAGUAGCGGGGGAUAACUACUCGAAAGAGUGGCUAAUCCCGCAUACUAUUGGAGCGGCCGAUAUCGGCGUAGCUAGUUGGGGGGGUAAAGGGUCCCCAAGGCAACGAGCCGUAGCCGGUUUGAGAGGACGAGCCGCGACACUGGGACUGAGACACGGCCCAGACUCCUACGUGAGGCAGCAGUGGGGAAUUUUGGACAAUGGGGGAAACCCUGAUGCAGCCAUCCCGCGUGUAUGAUGAAGGCCUGCGGGUUGUAAAGUACUUUUGGCAGAGAAGCGGUAUCUGCAGAAUAAGCGCCGGCUAACUACGUGCCAGCAGCCGCGGUAAUAC
rnacentral:rRNA from 1 species